UUGCCAGAUUGUUCUAAUAUUAAGCCAUGCAUGUCUAAAUAAAAACAAUCUAUACGGUGAAACUGCGAAUGGCUCAUUAAAUCACUUAAACAAAUUAUUUGAUAGUACCUUGCUACAUGGAUACCUGUGGUAAUUCUAGAGCUAAUACAUGCUGAAAACCCCGACUUCGGAAGGGGUGUAUUUAUUAGAUAAAAAACCAAUGCCCUUCGGGGCUCCUUGGUGAUUCAUAAUAACUUAACAAAAUCACAUGGCCUUGCGCCGGCAAUGGUUCAUUCAAAUUUCUGCCCUAUCAACUUUCAAUGGUAGGAUAAUGGCCUAACCAUGGGUGGCAACGGGUAAACGGGGAAAUUUAAGGUUCGAAUUCCCAGAACAAAGGGAACCCUUGAAAAAAACUU
rnacentral:rRNA from 1 species